UCCCUGCCAUGCAGGACCAGGUGGCUUCUCUUUAUUUCCGAUCACUUCACUUAGUGAGGCAUUAGCAAAACCAUCAGAGAUUUAACACAACAACCAGCUUCGUUUUCACUGCACAGUUAACCUGGCCCCAUCUCAAGCAGGGACCUGCCCAUGUUUCCAUGACCUUGCUGACUCUGUGCUAAUAAUCUGUGUGUACGUGACCACUGAGACAGACUUUUGUGGUACUGGGAGGCUACAGGAUUCUUUCAUGGCCACUUGGUUGCCACAGGGAGCUAGAGGAGGUGCACUGGAGAACCACCACAAUUCAGAUGCUUCCUGAAGUUCUGCACUGCAUCUUGCCACCAUGCCAGGCUCCCUCUGAUCCAUGACCACAGCUCUGUGCAUCAGAUGUCAUUCCAGAGCAGCACAGCUCUUUCCCAGGAGAUAAGUGAGGGUUUUUUUUUUGCCUACACAACAGCUCUCCUGAGCUUUCCCAUGCUGGGAGGGUGGGAGGGAGGAGAUCCAGCUUCCUCCCUGUCCGAGCGCCAGCCCCGUGGGCCUGCCAUGGCACUGCUGGGAACAUCCAGGGGCAUUAUGCAAUUUGCAGAGGCGGUUUUUCAUGCAGCCUGGCAAGACAGGGUCUGAUAAUGGCUCUCCCUUUGUUUGUAGCACACAAUCGAGCUCAUGAUCAUCUCUCCAAGUACAGGCAGCCCACGGUGUUAUGUCCUGUACUGCUGUGAUGACGAGAGCAGGGCUGUGCACAGGAGCCCUGCAGUGCUUUCAUCAGUGAAUGCUGUGCUAGUUAGGCACAAAUCAUUAAUGGUCUAAAAAGGGCUGGAAUAAGCUAGCUCGGCUCUGGUGGAAGUGCGUGUUGUGUCUUUUUCAGGAGGCAUGGGAAACCCUUCUUAAGUCUGUUUUUAAGCUUCUCAACUUUGGUUUCUCAGUAAUGUCACUGAUUCCACUUUCCAAAAGGUCAUACAGGGGAAUUCUCUUCUGCCAUCUCCAAAGAAUGACAAUGUUCCUCUAAUGAAGUAACAAAUUGUUCAACACGAUGUGCUUAGCAAUUACCUUCCCCCAUAAAGGCAUUAACAGCAGAUGAAUACUCUUCCCCAGGGAGCAACAUUAGUGCUUUAAAGAACUGAGAACUGUUCUUGAUGCUGUUUCACUUUGAUUUCUGCUCCUGGCUCCCAGAGCUCAGGACUGUUGCUUACUUCACAAAGGUUUUAUUUCGGAGCAGCAACAGGACAAUAACUAAUUCCAUAGGUUAUCUAGAAAUAACUUCCCUUUAGCAAGAAGACAAAUUGCAACCAGGAAAUACUCAAUCACUCGGGAAACUGUGUGUGCUGUGGUAUAAACCCAAACUCUCCUGUGCCAUCAUGGUUUUGGAUUCAGAGGAGCAGUUUGAUUGAAUUGACAUCCCCAGCUUCUCUCAUCAAUCCCCUGCAUUUUGGGACUCCUAAAAUAUGGGCUUCUGAAGAGGAAAUGAGCUGCUCCACUGCCAACAGCAGGUUCUGGUAUUGCCCAAGGAGCAGCAGCAGGGGAAGAGCUCGCACUCUGUUAAACUGCUUUUAGACCAGCACCUACACAAAGUCCUGCACACGUUACUCUGCCACUCACAGAAGCGUAGCAGUGCCAGUAAAGCAGAGGAUGUUUAAGACAAGAAAUAAGCUCCAUGUAGCCAGUGGAAAACCUGCUUUAAAUGUCAAAGCAUCUACAAACAUGAAGUGAACACCUAAAAGCCAAAACACGUGCUGAUGCUCUUUUUCCAGUACACUUGGCCAUCAAGCUGACCAGCAUCAAUUCACUGACAUUCAGCAUUCUCAGAUAUCUCAGAGCUGUUUUCGAGUGCCCACGGAUGUCCAUUUGAUUGACGAGUGAGCAGCAGCCAAGACAGAGAAGUUCUUAUGAGUAUGAACUGUUCCCUUUUCCUGCUCAGAGCUCCUCCUAAGAGAAUUAGUCUUUAAAACGUUCCCUUUCUGAAAACAGAGAGGAGGGGGAGAGGGCUUUGGGGGUCAUGAAUGAACAGGAAGCCAGUUUCAGUUGUUCCUAUGCAUCACUGAUUUGAGUUUUCACCAUCAUUGGUUGCACAGGGCCAUGAAGAGGAUUGCUGGGUGAGCUGAGCACAGAUGAGCUGGUGGAGCAGUACUGACAAAUGUCCUGUGUAAAUGCGACGGCUGAUCUGCACAGGGACAUGUGAGCCAAGGAGGGAGCUGUGAGCGGAUUGCUUUGGACAGUCCAGUGCUCUCUUCCCCACAACUUCUGCAAGGGUCCGGGAAAUGAGGUGAGUGAGGCACAGAGGGUGGCAUGGGCAGGGGUGUGGGCUCAUGUUGGUGGC